rnacentral:ncRNA from 1 species
GGAUAGAGGCGCAGCAGCCAAAAGUAUCCUGUGUUUAUCAAGGCCGUCGCAAGGCUGCGGACACAGAGGAAAGGGGUCGCUGCCGAAGGCGGACGAGGCGAAACUCCGUCUGGGCAUACGGAAAAUAUCCGUAUGACUGUCGCAUUUGUGCGGAGCGCUAUA